rnacentral:rRNA from 1 species
UACGAGGGUGCAAGCGUUAUUCGGAAUUACUGGGCGUAAAGGGUGUGUAGGUGGUGUAUUAAGUCUGUUGUUAAAUCUCCCGGCCUAACUGGGAAGUCGCAAUGGAAACUAGUACGCUAGAGUGUGAGAGAGAGGAGUGGAAUUCUCGGAGUAGCGGUAAAAUGCGUAGAUAUCGAGAGGAACACCGAUGGCGAAAGCAGCUCCUUGGCUCACUACUGACACUGAAACACGAAAGCGUGGGGAGCAAACAGGAUUAGAA